UGGUGCCAGCAGCCGCGGUAAUUCCAGCUCCAUAGCGUAUAUUAAGUUGUUGCAGUUAAAAGCUCGUAGUUGAAUUUCGGGGUUAGUAGGUUGGUCAUGCCUCUGGUAUGUACUGGUCUCACUGAUUCCUCCUUCCUGAUGAACCUUAAUGCCAUUAAUUUGGUGUUUUGGGGAAUUUGGACUGUUACUUUGAAAAAUUAGAGUGUUUAAAGCAAGCUAACGCUUGAAUACAUUAGCAUGGAAUAAUGAAAUAGGACGUUCGAUCCUAUUUUGUUGGUUUCUAGGAUUGACGUAAUGAUUAAUAGGGAUAGUUGGGGGCAUUAGUAUUCAAUUGUCAGAGGUGAAAUUCUUGGAUUUAUUGAAGACUAACUACUGCGAAAGCAUUUGCCAAGGAUGUUUUCAUUAAUCAAGAACGAAAGUUAGGGGGAUCGAAGACGAUCAGAUACCGUCGUAGUCUUAACCAUAAACUAUGCCGACUAGGGAUCGGAUGAUGUUAAUUUUAUAAUGACUCAUUCGGCGCCUUACG
rnacentral:rRNA from 1 species